AAUAUAUAUAUAUUUAAUAAUAAAUGUGGAAGCUAUAUCACAUGUGUGUCAGUAGGUGGCAGAGAGGAGAGAGGCUAUGUUUAUACUCUGUGUUCUUACCUAUGAACAUCUGAAUGAUUAAUAGCCUAACAUU
ensembl:snoRNA